CAGCGCCACGAGUGGCAACCAUGAUUAUUGGGCCUAAAGCGUUCGUAGCCGGUUUAGUAAAUCUUCUGUGAAAUCGUCUCGCUUAACGAAACGACGUGCAAGAGACACUACUAAACUUGAGACCGGGAGGAGCAAGGAGUAUUCUUGGGGGAGCGGUAAAAUGUUAUAAUCCCUUGAAGACUACCUGUGGCGAAGGCGCCUUGCUAGAACGGAUCUGACGGUGAGGGACGAAAGCCAGGGGAGCGAACCGGAUUAGAUACCCGAGUAGUCC
rnacentral:rRNA from 1 species